CUUCCGUCCGUUGGUCCGUCUGUCCUGCUUCAGGUUAAAGUUUUUGAUGAACUUGAAGUCCAAUCAACUUGAAACUUAGUACACAUGUUCCUUAUGAUAUGAUCUUUCUAAUUUUAAUGCCAAAUUAGAGAUUACUCCCAGUUCACGGUCCACUGAACAUAGAACAUUAUAAUGCGGAAUGGGCAUCCGUGUACUUAGGACACAUUCUUGUUGUUUAUGCUGUGCAACUUCUUUCUGUUACCCAAUAGUUUAAAAUUAUUCAAAUUCAUUGUAUAAAGAAAAUGUUCAUGAAAGUUCAUGUGAUGAAUAACAAUGAUACAUGUAUCCCUAGACUAAAGAAUAAUGAUAUAAACAAUUACAGUUUGUCCAACAGCCUUCAACAAUGAGCAAAACCCAUACCAUAUAAUCAUCUAUAAAAAGCCUUGGUAUGAUAAAAUGUGAAACAUUUCAAAAGAAAAAAUCAACAGCCUACUACAACAAUGAAGGAAAAACAAAUAUGGUACACAGCUUCUAACUACAGCCACUACGUUAUAGGUCCUGGCUGUAGACAGGCACAUACAGAAUAAAAAAAAAAAUGAUUAAAUUUAAUGUGACUGGUCUAGAUUAUUAUUGACAAUGUUUUAAGAAACUAUUACUUGAUAUUUUUUAUGUGUUUCUUAAAUGCCGACCUUUUAUAAAACCCAAAUCUUGAAACGAUCUCAAAAUAAGGAGUUGUGGUAUGAUUAACAAUGAAGCAAUUAAUCCUAGACCAUAGGACAAAGAUAUAAACAAUUACAGGUCGUCUAAUAGCCUUCCACAAUGAGCAAAACUCAGACCAUAUAAUAAUUAGGAGAUGUGGUAUGAUCAACAAUGAAGCAAUUAAUCCUAGACCAUAGGACAAAGAAAUAAACAAUUACAGGUCGUUCAACAGCCUUCAACAAUGAGCAAAACCCAUACCAUAUAAUAAUUAGGAGAUGUGGUAUGAUUAACAAUGAUACAAUUAUUCCUAGACCAUAGGACAAAGAUAUAAACAAUUACAGGUCGUCUAAUAGCCUUCCACAAUGAGCAAAACUCAUACCAUAUAAUAAUUAGAUGUGGUAUGAUUAACAAUGAUACAAUUAUUCCUAGACCAUAGGACAAAGAUAUAAACAAUUACAGGUCGUCUAAAAGCCUUCAACAAUGAGCAAAACCCAUACCAUAUAAUAAUUAGGAGAUGUGGUAUGAUUAACAAUGAUACAAUUAUUCCUAGACCAUAGGACAAAGAUAUAAACAAUUACAGGUCGUUCAACAGCCUUCAACAAUGAGCAAAACCCAUACCAUAUAAUAAUUAGGAGAUGUGGUAUGAUUAACAAUGAUACAAUUAUUCCUAGACCAUAGGACAAAGAUAUAAACAAUUACAGGUCGUCUAAUAGCCUUCAACAAUGAGCAAAACCCAUACCAUAUAAUAAUUAGGAGAUGUGGUAUGAUUAACAAUGAUACAAUUAUUCCUAGACCAUAGGACAAAGAUAUAAACAAUUACAGGUCGUUCAAUAGCCUUCAACAAUGAGCAAAACCCAUACCAUAGGAUAACUAGGAGUUGUGGUAUGAUAAACAAUGAUACAAUUAAUCCUAGACCAUAUGACAAAGAUAUAAACAAUUACAGGUCGUCUAACAGCCUUCAACAAUGAGCAAAACCCAUACCAUAUAAUCAUCUAUAAAAAGCCUUGGUUUGAUAAAAUAUGAAGCAUUUCAAAAGAAAAACGAACAGCCUACUACAACAAUGAAAGAAACACAAAUAUGGUACACAGCUUCUAACUACAGCCACUACGUUAUAUAGGUCCUGUCUGUGGAAAGAGUCACACCCUGUAUGUAGAAUACACAGCUUCUAACUACAUCCACUACGUUAUAUAGGUCCUGGCUGUGGAAAGAGUCACACCCUGUAUGUAGAAUACACAGCUUCUAACUACAGCC
rnacentral:lncRNA from 1 species